UUGACAGCGAUACAACCCCCUCAGGCUCCAUUCAAAAUGUGGGUGUUUGAUGGAGAGUUGCGGUCAGUGACAGUUUGGAUAGAGUUUGAGAUAGUUUGGAGAGAGUUUGGAGAUUUAGGAGAGUGAGGAGAGAGAGUCAGGAGAGAAUGGAGCCAGCUAAGAAGAGGAGGAUGUCCCCUGUGUGGGAACAUUUUGAUCUCAUUCCUCCCAACAAGGAGAAAAAUCUCAAAUAGAUGACCUGGUUACCAAGGUGAUUGAGGACACCCAGCCAUUUAGUAUUGUGGAGGACAAAGGAUUUAAAAGAUUUGUUAAAUCGUUAAAUCCUAGCUAUGUUCUCCCCACUAAGGCCCUGAAAGCCAUGGUGGAGGCCAGGUACCAGGAGAUGAAGGAGAAAGCUAAGGCCAGCAUUGAGAAGGCAGCAGCUGUGAGUCUGACAUCAGAUAUGUGGACCUCUAUCAACACAGAGGCCUAUCUCGCUGUCACCUGCCAUUUUGUUGAGUCCAGCACAUUAAAUACAGUUGUUUUGGGAGUGCAACAUUUUCCCAAGGCGCACACUGCAGAAAAUAUUGCACAAGUGAAAGGCUCACUCAUGAGGGAAUGGGCUAUUACUGAAAAAGUUACAUGCAUUGUAACAGAUGGGGCUGGCA